ACUCAUUCUUGCGCUUUACAUUGUGUUGUUUCUCCUCUCUAUUCAACUACCUCUUAGUCUUCUCAAUUGCCAUUGUAUUCUAACACAAGCAAGUACUAACAACUAAUCUCUCAAAACACACAUAUACGGCUGCUUACACAAAAGAAAACACAAUGCUUGUCAAGAGCCCCCUUCCUACUUCUUACUAUGGUUCAAUCAAUUGGGUCGACUCCCCCUUAUAUCUCACGAUUCGUCAUGAUGAAAUACCCUACUAACU
rnacentral:lncRNA from 1 species